GGAUCUCUGUGUGCACCUGCAUCGCUGAUCUGGAAACUGGACGGCCCCAAACUGAGUCCAAGUCCUGCAUCUGCCAGUCGUGUGAACUUGGGUGAGUGACUUAGCCUCGCUGUGUCUCAGUUUCCUUAUCAGGAAAAUCUAGCCAUUCACCACCCCUUCCUCAGUGGGCUGCUGUGGGGACUGGAGUUAGCAUGUGCACGGGCAAUGCUAACAGGCACAUACAAAGCACCAAGCAAGCGUGAGCUUUGGGUACUUUUUAUCACCGUAUAGACCAGGCGCUGAGACCCAGAGAGGCCAGCGACUUUCCCAACGCUGCGCAGUGAGCCAGGUGCAGGGCUGGGUGGGUCUUGGGUGCCCGGUUCCAGGGCGGCUGCUGGGCCAGGACUGCAGGAUGCUGGAGGAGAAAGAGUCCUGAGGUCCCCAGCUGCCUUCUGGGGCUGACAGGCCUGUUCCUUGGCCUGGAGAAUUCCUCUGAGAAGAGCGAGCAGCUCAGUGAGGACACAUGAGGCCACCCAGGCCAGGAGGGGACUUCAAAGCCAUGGACAGCUCACAAUCCCCAGGCGGGGACAUGGGAGGCUUCCUUUCCAUUGCUGUUUGAUUUCAGCCUCCCAAUUAGCCAUGCCUAAGUAAUGCACUCAGGGCCGUAUCCAUUGUUUAUGAGAAUAAGCAGGCAUGAGAACGCCCUUCUCUCUGCAAGAAGAUGCCCGCCCUUACCAAGGUGACUUCCAAGGACUUCAGGAACCUGAAACCUCGUCCUUGAUCGACUCGUGGUGUUGAAGGCCCUGCCAAAGCCAGCCUGGCACUGCUCUCUGGGAUGGAGACGGGAGAUGGCAUUCCGGGUCUAAAUUCUCGUGGGUGGUUCUCAGCUGUCAGGAGGUGCCAGGCUUACCUGCCAGGACCGUGGUUUUCUGUCAUUGUAACUGUGGGAAUGGCUAAGUCCUGUCUAUGACAGUCACACGAAAUAAAGUGUUCUGUGCUCCAGG
rnacentral:lncRNA from 10 species